GUUCAAGCUACGAAGGGCGCGCGGUGGAUGCCUUGGCGCAAAGAGCUGAUGAAGGACGCGGUAAGCGGCGAAACGCUUCGGGGAGCUGCAAUCGAGCUUUGAUCCGAAGAUAUCCGAAUGGGGUAACCCGGCGGAGCGAACAGCUCCGUCACUUCUGCCUGAAUACAUAGGGCAGAUAGAAGGCAGCCGGUGAACUGAAACAUCUAAGUAACCGGACGAAAAUAAAGUAAUAACGAUUCCGUCAGUAGCGGCGAGCGAAAGCGGAAGAGCCUAAACCAUAGAUCACGAUUUAUGGGGUUGCGGGGUCAGAGUCGUGGGAUCUGAAGUAUAUAGUCGAACCCUCUGGAAAGUGGGUCCAUAGAAGGUGAAAGCCCUGUAGACGAAAUGUACGACAGCCCUAUCUGAUACCCAAGUACUGCGGGACACGAGGAACCCUGCAGGAAUCUGGGAGGACCAUCUCCUAAGGCUAAAUACUCUUUGCGACCGAUAGCGAAAAAGUACCGUGAGGGAAAGGUGAAAAGCACCCCGGGAGGGGAGUGAAAUAGUCCCUGAAACCGCGUCGCCUACAAGCUGUCAAAGCACUAUGCCAAGCUUGCUUGGAAUGUGUGAUGGCGUGCCUUUUGCAGAAUGAGCCUGCGAGUUAACGUUAGUUGCAAGCUUAAGUGAUAGAUUCACGGAGGCGCAGCGAAAGCGAGUCUGAAUAGGGCGUCUAGUAGCUAGCGUUAGACCCGAAACCGUGUGAUCUACCCAUGGUCAGGUUGAAGCGAAGGUAAUACUUCGUGGAGGACCGAACCGGUGUAUGUUGAAGAAUGCUCGGAUGAACUGUGGGUAGGGGUGAAAUGCCAAUCGAACACGGAGAUAGCUGGUUCUCCUCGAAAUGCAUUUAGGUGCAGCGUUAUUUGUUUACCGUCGGAGGUAGAGCACUGAAUAGUCGAUGGGCCCUCCAAGGUUACUGAGAUUAAUCAAACUCCGAAUGCCGACGGUCUAAGAAUAGCAGUGAGACAGUGGGGGAUAAGCUUCAUUGUCGAAAGGGAAACAGCCCAGACCCACCGCUAAGGUCCCUAAGUAAUGGCUAAGUGUGAAAGGAUGUGGGAGUACGUAAACAGCCAGGAUGUUGGCUUAGAAGCAGCCACCAUUUAAAGAGUGCGUAAUAGCUUACUGGCCGAAUGUACUCCUGCGCCGAUAAUGUAAGGGGGCUCAAGCCAUUUACCGAAGCGUGGGAAGCAGUCUUUUGACUGCUUGGUAGAGGAGCGUUGUGUGCGGGUUGAAGCAUGAGCGUAAGCACGUGUGGACUGCACACAAGUGAGGAUGCAGGCAUAAGUAGCGAAAAGACAGGUGAGAAUCCUGUCCACCGGAAGCCUAAGGUUUCUGCAGUAAAGCUCGUCUUCUGCAGGUCAGUCGGUCCUAAGGCGAGGGCGAAGGCCGUAGUCGAUGGAUAAACGGUUUAUAUUCCGUUACCGUGCGUAAAGGUUAAACGUCUGGGGACGCCGUUCGUAUAUUUCAUCUGGUGAUUGGUUGUACCAGUUCCGCAAGGACGAGUGAAACCCUUCGGGGGGAAGCGAAGUGAUGGGUAUGAGGGGCCGAGAAAAGCCAUGACGGUACAAUACGUACGACCGUACCGCAAACCGACACAGGUAGGCAGGUAGAGGAUACCAAGGUGUUCGAGAUAACUCUCGUUAAGGAACUAGGCAAUCUAACCCCGUAACUUCGGGAGAAGGGGUGCCAGAGCAAUCUGGCCGCAGUGAAAUGGCUCGAGCGACUGUUUACCAAAAACACAGGUCUGUGCAAAAGCGAAAGCUGACGUAUACGGGCUGACGCCUGCCCAAUGCCAGAAUGUUAACAGGAGAUGUCAGCGCAAGCGAAGCAUUGAAUCGAAGCACUGGUGAAUGGCGGCCGUAACUAUAACGGUCCUAAGGUAGCGAAAUUCCUUGUCGGGUAAGUUCCGACCCGCACGAAUGGCGUAACGACUUGAGCGCUGUCUCAACGAGAGACUCGGUGAAAUUGUAACAUGCGUGAAGAUGCGCAUUACCCGCUGCAGGACGGAAAGACCCCGUGGAGCUUUACUACACCCUGACAUUGCUAGGCGGCAUAUUCUGUAGAGCGUAGGUGGGAGAGAGCAAUCUCGCCAAUGGAACACCACCCUGGAUAUGUUGUUUAGCUAACCUGCGCCGUUAUCCGGCAAAGAGACCGUGUCAGGCGGGUAGUUUGACUGGGGCGGUCGCCUCCCAAAAUGUAACGGAGGCGUCCAAAGCUGCCCUCAGGUUGGUUGGAAACCAACUUUCGAGUACAAAGGCAUAAGGGCGGUUUACUGUGAGACCUACAAGUCGAGCAGUUGCGAAAGCAGGGCUUAGUGACCCUUUGGUUGUGUAUGGGUGCGCCAAAGAUCAUCGGAUAUAAGCUACCCCGGGGAUAACAGGCUUAUCUUGCCCAAGCGCUCACAGCGACGGCAUGGUUUGGCACCUCGAUGUCGGCUCGUCGCAUCCUGGGGCUGGAUUCGGUCCCAAGGGUUAGGCUGUUCGCCUAUUAAAGCGGUACGCGAGCUGGGUUCAGAACGUCGUGAGACAGUUCGGUCCCUAUCCGCAGCGGGCGUAAGAAGUUUGAUGGGAGCUGUCCCUAGUACGAGAGGACCGGGAUGGACAGACCUCUGGUGUGCCAGUUGUACCGCCAGGUGCAUCCGCUGGGUAGCUAUGUCUGGUCGUGAUAAGCGCUGAAAGCAUCUAAGCGCGAAGUACACCCAAAGAUAAGACUUCUCAUGGAGUAGUCCAGUAAGGCCUGAGGUAGACCACCUCUUUGUGGCGCGGGAUGUGUAAUUGCAGUAAUGCAUUCAGCAAACCCGUAGCUAUCGGCCGAGGGCUUGACAA
rnacentral:rRNA from 1 species